CCUACGGGUGGCAGCAGUGAGGAAUAUUGGUCAAUGGUCGGGAGACUGAACCAGCCAAGCCGCGUGAGGGAUGAAGGUACAGAGUAUCGUAAACCUCUUUUGUCAGGGAACAAAGGCGGGGACGUGUCCCCGGAUGAGUGUACCUGAAGAAAAAGCAUCGGCUAACUCCGUGCCAGCAGCCGCGGUAAUACGGAGGAUGCGAGCGUUAUCCGUAUUUAUUGGGUUUAAGGGGUGCGCAGGCGGUCUGUUAAGUCAGCGGUAAAAGCCCGGGGCUAAACCCAGGCCCGCCGUUGAAACUGGCAGUCUCGAGUUGGAGAGAAGUAUGCGGAAUGCGCGGUGUAGCGGUGAAAUGCAUAGAUAUCGCGCAGAACUCCGAUUGUGAAGGCAGCAUGCCGGCUCCACACUGACGCUGAGGCACGAAAGCGUGGGUAUCGAACAGGAUUAGAUACCCUGGUAGUC
rnacentral:rRNA from 1 species